GGCUCGGGAAAAGGGUUGUGUUUCGUAAGAGUGAGAAAAAUCAUUCAUUUUUGCGAGCAACUGAAUAAAAAAAACACGAGACGCAAUAAGAAAGGGGAUACAAGAGGCGAUAAGAGAGCGUCUUUGUUGAAGGUUGUGAAAUGGAGGAAGAACUGCGAGAUAUGAAGGCACGCAAAGCACACUACGACAUGCUCCAUUUCGUUGCAGAUGCGCAACAAGGGAUUCCCAAAUUGUGCCCCUGUGGAUCAAUCACGAAGGAAUCCGUAGAUGAAGAGGAUACAUAUGACUACCUCCCAGGGAAAAGAUACUUCAUCUGCAAAGACUUCGAGGUUUGAAGUAAUGACGGGAUGCAUUUUAGGCAGCCAUGGGUUAUGGGUGUGCAACAAGAGGUGGAGAGGCUCAAAAUAAGGGUUCACGAGCAUGAGAAGCUUCUCAGAGAAUGCGACGAACUAAAGGCCCAGGUGAGGAUGUUGCUUAGGCGUGUGUCUGACCUUGAGAGAGUCCUCUGAGGUUAGUGUUUAAAGUUACAUGUCUUCUUUAACUCUCUAGUUUAAAAUUAGCA